AUAUCAAUAAGCGGAGGAAAAGAAACCAACAGGGAUUGCCUCAGUAACGGCGAGUGAAGCGGCAAUAGCUCAAAUUUGAAAUCUGGCCCUCUCGGGGCCCGAGUUGUAAUUUGUAGAGGAUGUUUCGGGCGGGGCCCCGGCCGAAGUUCCUUGGAACAGGGCGUCACAGAGGGUGAGAACCCCGUACGCGGCCGGCGACCGAGCCCAGGUGAAACUCCUUCGACGAGUCGAGUUGUUUGGGAAUGCAGCUCAAAAUGGGUGGUAAAUUUCAUCUAAAGCUAAAUACCGGCCAGAGACCGAUAGCGCACAAGUAGAGUGAUCGAAAGAUGAAAAGCACUUUGGAAAGAGAGUUAAAAAGCACGUGAAAUUGUUGAAAGGGAAGCGCUUACGAUCAGACCUGCGCGCGGGCGCUCAGCGGCGGUUAUCCGCCGAGCACUCGUCCGCGAUCAGGCCAGCAUCAGUUUCGGCGACCGGAGAAAGGCUCGAGGAAUGUAGCUCUCUUUCGGGGGAGUGUUAUAGCCUCGGGUGGCAUGCGGCCGGCUGGGACUGACGGCCUCGUUUCG
rnacentral:rRNA from 1 species